rnacentral:lncRNA from 10 species
UGUCACCUCAUCUAAUAUAGAUCAUCAAGAUAGGUUGAAAGGGGAGUUCGUAGUCAUCUCUUCUAAUCAGGAGAUCCCUGAAAGCCGAACAUUUAAAUGUUCUCUUCUUGAAAUAAAAAUACCAUAGUUUUAGUUAGGAAUGUGCUAUGUUGAAAAUAACAGAAAAACUGACCUCUGUGGCUUAAACAAGUAAGGAUUUAUUUUCCUUCCGUAGCUGGAGGAAGGGAGGUGCAGCUUUGGCUCAGCUCUUAACAGUGCAACAUCUAGUGCCUCUAUAGUUCUCUUGGACACAGAUGGCUGCUUUCGAAGAAGAAAGAAGUGGAAAGUGAUGGAGUUUCUAUGCUCCAGCUCUCUUUGCCUGCUGCCAUCCACGUAAGAUGUGACUUGCUCCUCUUUGCCUUCUGCCAUAAUUGUGAGCCCCCCUCAGCCAUGUGGAAUGAUGGAAAACAGAACAAGCCAUGGAGGCCCCAGGGAUCAGGCAGGGCCAAGAGGAUCUGAUGGCGGAAGGGGGAGCACAUCAACAAGACCUUACAAGGCAACUUGCAUGGAUGCUCUGAAGCAACUUUGAGGUCUCCUUGAUGAGGAAAGUUGGCUCAACCUGCUGUAGAGUAGGCCCACAGCCAAGCCAUUGAGAGACAAGUCCAUGGGAGACAAAUUAGCUCAUGCAGCUGAGAUGUCCUGGAGAUUUUCCACAGCACCACUUGGCCAGUGCCUAGACAAGAGGCCAUCUUUGAAGAAGUAAACAAGUACCAUACACUAAAGGGAUGACAGAACAACGAAACAAAAGGCUUCCGAGGCGAUCCGGCAACAUCAGUCUUCAGCCGCUAAGCCAAGAAGAUCUGGGAAGGAGUCAAUCAGAGAGCCUUGGGCCAGAGUUCCAGGGGCUGUGGAAGUGGCUGCCAGGUGAGUUGAACAGUCCGAUUUUCAGUGGGGUCCUACACAGAUGGGACACAGCUUAGGAGGAAUCCUGGGCUGUGGGCAUUCCUUGGCCUAGUGGCCAGAUUUCUGGCACUUGUAGCAAGCUCCUGGGGGAGGAGGUUCUGGAGGAACCCCUGGCAGCUGCGGUUUGGGCGUUUGGAGUUCUUGUGUGCUGGAGAUGUGGCUGGGGUUUGUCUCACAGUGGAGGCAAGAAAUUGCAACUCAGAAAUACAUUGCUACUUGGCUGCCUCUACUCUAUUAUUGUAUAACUUGAAGGUGAGGUUAAUUAAGUCCUGUUGUGAGGUUUGAGGGCCGGAAUUUAAUUUUUGGAGUUUUAUUUAAUGUCAGGAGCGGAUUGGGUAAUAAAAUGUAUAUUGAGAAUAAGACGGCCUUUUGACAUUUUAGGGUCUUGGGCUGUAAAGCGUCUCAGGGUUGCUGCCGAACGAGCCAUGAACUGGGCUGGGUUUUUCAUAUUUGAUGAAAGAGCCUAAAUGCUAACUGAUUUGGGAGAGGUCGGAUAAAGAAAAAGAAGCAUUAACCUUGACUAUGCCUUUAGCUCCAGCCUCCUUUUUAAGAGGAAAUUGCUGGUCAGGUGGAGGAGGGCUAGUCGCGUCGCGGAACGAAACUAUAAGCCGGACUGGGUGUGAGGAGGGGAGGUGAUAAAAGGAUUAUAGGGUGGGGGAGCAGAGGCUGAGGAAGAAUUGGGACCUGGCUUGACCUGGCUUGGCCUGGCGAGGAGCAGCCUGGGGAGGAGGAGAGAGGUCAGAUGGGUCUGUAGAAAAGGAAGAUUAGAAAGACUCAGCGACGCUUGGGGUUGGGACUGAGAGGACAGGCGGGAGGGAAAGAAGGAGGAUUUGGGAUGAGUCACAUUGGGAACAGAGAGUACGGAGAGAACAAUGUGUAAAAGAAUGCCUGGACGUCAGGCACCUCAGACCAUUUGCCCAUUUUACGACAAGAAUUAUCGAGAUCUUGUGGGAUGGAAAAAUCGAAAGUGCCGUUCUGUGGCUAUUUUAGAGCCUUUGUCAAGUUUGUAUUGGGGCCAAGCGGUGUUGCAGAAUAAAAUAAGAUGCUUAGAUUUUAGGUCAGGCGAGAGUUGAAGAGGUUUUAAGUUCUUAAGAACACAGGCUAAGAGAGAAGAAGGAGGAAUGGAGGGUGGAAGGUUGCCCAUAGUGAAGGAGGCAAGUUUAAAGAGAAGGGUAGAGACACGGAGAAGGGGGUGGGGAGCAGCCCUGGGCUGCAACGUGGGUGAGCAGCCAAAGCAGGCGUCCUUGCAAUUGACUUGCCACCAAGGGAACAUGGGCGAAUGAUCAAGGAAGGCACCCCUGCGGAGAUCAGACACCAGUGGAACGUGGGUGAAUAAUCCAAGAGGCAUCUCGGCGAUGAUUAAACACCAAGGUAAGGCUGUCUUCCCGAGUCCGUGACCGGCGCCGGAGUUUUGGGUCCACAGAUAAAAUGUGUCUCCUUUGUCUCUACCCGAAAAUGAAAGGAACUGAAAUUAACAGAAGGGAGAGAUUGAAGUGUGGCGCCAAGCUUGAAAGGAGAAAGAGGUUGAGGGAUAGUGAGGGAGGUUGGAGAAGAGAGUAAAAAGAGGCCGCUUACUGGAUUUGAAAUUGGUGAGAUGUUCCUUGGGCUGGUCAGUCUGAGGACCUGAGGUUGUAGGUGGAUCUUUCUCAUGGAGCAAAGAGUAGGACAGGGGAUUGAUCUCCCAAGGGAGGUCCCCUGAUCCCAGUCACGGCACCAAAUUUCACUCGCGUCCGUGUGAAGAGACCACCAAACAGGAUUUGUGUGAGCAACAAGGCUGUUUAUUUCACCUGGAUGCAGGCGGGCUGAGUCUGAAAAGAGAGUCAGUGAAGGGAGAUAGGGGUGGUGCCGUUUUAUAGGAUUUGGGUAGGUAAAGGAAAAUUAGUCAAAGGGGGUUGUUCUCUGGCUGGCAGGAGUGGGAGGUCACAAGGUGCUCAGUAGGGGAGCUUUUGAGCCAGGAUGAGCCAGGAGAAGGAAUUUCACAAGAUAAUGUCAUCAGUUAAGGCAGGAACAG